rnacentral:rRNA from 1 species
GACGAACGCUGGCGGCGUGCUUAACACAUGCAAGUCGAACGGAAAGGCCCUGCUUUUGUGGGGUGCUCGAGUGGCGAACGGGUGAGUAACACGUGAGUAACCUGCCCUUGACUUUGGGAUAACUUCAGGAAACUGGGGCUAAUACCGGAUAGGAGCUCCUGCUGCAUGGUGGGGGUUGGAAAGUUUCGGCGGUUGGGGAUGGACUCGCGGCUUAUCAGCUUGUUGGUGGGGUAGUGGCUUACCAAGGCUUUGACGGGUAGCCGGCCUGAGAGGGUGACCGGCCACAUGGGGACUGAGAUACGGCCCGGACUCCUACGGGGGGAAGCGGUGGGGAAUAUUGCACAAGGGGCGGAGGCCUGAGGCAGCAACGCCGCGUGCGGAUGACGGCCUUCGGGUUGUAAACCGCUUUCGCCUGUGACGAAGCGUGAGUGACGGUAAUGGGUAAAGAAGCACCGGCUAACUACGUG